rnacentral:rRNA from 1 species
AGUGAACGCUGGCGGUAGGCCUAACACAUGCAAGUCGAACGGCAGCACAGUAAGAGCUUGCUCUUACGGGUGGCGAGUGGCGGACGGGUGAGGAAUACAUCGGAAUCUACUUUUUCGUGGGGGAUAACGUAGGGAAACUUACGCUAAUACCGCAUACGACCUACGGGUGAAAGCAGGGGAUCUUCGGACCUUGCGCGAUUGAAUGAGCCGAUGACGGAUUAGCUAGUUGGCGGGGUAAAGGCCCACCAAGGCGACGAUCCGUAGCUGGUCUGAGAGGAUGAUCAGCCACACUGGAACUGAGACACGGUCCAGACUCCUACGGGAGGCAGCAGUGGGGAAUAUUGGACAAUGGGCGCAAGCCUGAUCCAGCCAUACCGCGUGGGUGAAGAAGGCCUUCGGGUUGUAAAGCCCUUUUGUUGGGUAAGAAAAGCAGCAGGUUAAUACCCCGCUGUUCUGACGGUACCCAAAGAAUAAGCACCGGCUAACUUCGUG